rnacentral:rRNA from 1 species
GACCGAACGCUGGGCGGCGUGCCUAAUACAUGCAAGUAGACCGCUGAAGGGAGGAGCUUGCUUCUCCGGAUGAGUUGCGAACGGGUGAGUAACGCGUAGGUAACCUGCCUGGUAGCGGGGGAUAACUAUCGGAAACGAUAGCUAAUACCGCAUAAGAGUAGAUGUUGCAUGACAUUUGCUUAAAAGGUGCAAUUGCAUCACUACCAGAUGGACCUGCGUUGUAUUAGCUAGUUGGUGGGGUAACGGCUCACCAAGGCGACGAUACAUAGCCGACCUGAGAGGGUGAUCGGCCACACUGGGACUGAGACACGGCCCAGACUCCUACGGGAGGCAGCAGUAGGGAAUCUUCGGCAAUGGACGGAAGUCUGACCCGAGCAACGCCGCGUGAGUGAAGAAGGUUUUCGGAUCGUAAAGCUCUGUUGUAAGAGAAGAACGAGUGUGAGAGUGGAAAGUUCACACUGUGACGGUAUCUUACCAGAAAGGGACGGCUAACUACGUGCCAGCAGCCGCGGUAAUACGUAGGUCCCGAGCGUUGUCCGGAUUUAUUGGGCGUAAAGCGAGCGCAGGCGGUUAGAUAAGUCUGAAGUUAAAGGCUGUGGCUUAACCAUAGUACGCUUUGGAAACUGUUUAACUUGAGUGCAAGAGGGGAGAGUGGAAUUCCAUGUGUAGCGGUGAAAUGCGUAGAUAUAUGGAGGAACACCGGUGGCGAAAGCGGCUCUCUGGCUUGUAACUGACGCUGAGGCUCGAAAGCGUGGGGAGCAAACAGG